CCUACGGGGGGCUGCAGUGGGGAAUAUUGCACAAUGGGCGCAAGCCUGAUGCAGCCAUGCCGCGUGUGUGAAGAAGGCCUUCGGGUUGUAAAGCACUUUCAGCGGGGAGGAAGGCGGUGAGGUUAAUAACCUCAUCGAUUGACGUUACCCGCAGAAGAAGCACCGGCUAACUCCGUGCCAGCAGCCGCGGUAAUACGGAGGGUGCAAGCGUUAAUCGGAAUUACUGGGCGUAAAGCGCACGCAGGCGGUCUGUCAAGUCGGAUGUGAAAUCCCCGGGCUCAACCUGGGAACUGCAUUCGAAACUGGCAGGGUAGAGUCUUGUAGAGGGGGGUAGAAUUCCAGGUGUAGCGGUGAAAUGCGUAGAGAUCUGGAGGAAUACCGGUGGCGAAGGCGGCCCCCUGGACAAAGACUGACGCUCAGGUGCGAAAGCGUGGGGAGCAAACGGGAUUAGAUACCCGAGUAGUC
rnacentral:rRNA from 1 species